GUGUAGGAUAGGUGGGAGGCUUUGAAACCGGGAACGCCAGUUCCGGUGGAGCCAACCUUGAAAUACCACCCUGGUGUCGUCGAGGUUCUAACCCAGGCCUGUGAAUCCAGGUCGGGGACCGUGCAUGGUGGGCAGUUUGACUGGGGCGGUCUCCUCCCAAAAGGUAACGGAGGAGUACGAAGGUCACCUAGGUACGGUCGGACAUCGUACUGAUAGUGCAAUGGCAAAAGGUGGCUUGACUGCGAGACCCACAAGUCGAGCAGGUGCGAAAGCAGGUCAUAGUGAUCCGGUGGUUCUGUAUGGAAGGGCCAUCGCUCAACGGAUAAAAGGUACUCUGGGGAUAACAGGCUGAUUCCGCCCAAGAGUUCACAUCGACGGCGGAGUUUGGCACCUCGAUGUCGGCUCAUCACAUCCUGGGGCUGUAGCCGGUCCCAAGGGUAUGGCUGUUCGCCAUUUAAAGUGGUACGUGAGCUGGGUUUAAAACGUCGUGAGACAGUUUGGUCCCUAUCUGCCGUGGG
rnacentral:rRNA from 1 species